AUUGAACGCUGGCGGAAUGCUUUACACAUGCAAGUCGAACGGCAGGACGGGUGCUUGCACCUGGUGGCGAGUGGCGAACGGGUGAGUAACAUAUCGGAACGUAUCCAAUAAUGGGGGAUAACUAAUCGAAAGGUUGGCUAAUACCGCAUACGCCCUACGGGGGAAAGCUAGGGACCUUCGGGCCUGGCGUUAAUGGAGCGGCCGAUAUCUGAUUAGCUAGUUGGUGGGGUAAUGGCCUACCAAGGCGACGAUCAGUAGCUGGUCUGAGAGGACGACCAGCCACACUGGAACUGGGACACGGUCAAGACUCCUACGGGAGGCAGAAGUGGGGAAUUUUGGACAAUGGGCGCAAGCCUGAUUCAGCCAUUCCGCGUGAGUGAAGAAGGCCUUCGGGUUGUAAAGCUCCUUCGCAAGGGAAGAAAACUUAUCCUCUAACAUAGGAUGAGGUUGACGGUACCUUGAUAAGAAGCACCGGCUAACUACGUGCCAGCCGCCGCGGUAACAC
rnacentral:rRNA from 1 species